rnacentral:SRP_RNA from 1 species
GCAGGUGUGAUGCUGCACACAUGUAGUCCUGGCUGAUUAGGAGGCUGGGGCAGGAGGAUUGCUUGAGCCCAGUGUGGGCUGAAGUGUGCUAUGCUGAUUGGGUGUGCGCACUAAAUUUGUCAUCAAUAUGAUGACCUCCUGGGAGUGGGGGACCAUCAGGUUGCCUAAGGAGGGAUGAACUGGCUCAGGUUGGGAACAGAGCAGGUCAAAAUUCCUGUGCUGGCCGGGCGCAGUGGCUCACGCCUGUAAUCCUAGCACUCUGGGAGGCCAAGGCGGGCGGAUUGCUCGA